CGGAGAGCUCCUGCGCCUCGGGGUCUCUUCGACGGGGCCGUCCCUGAUCCAGACCCCGGAGGAGGAAGAGGAGGAGGAUGAGGCUGGAGUUUCUCCUCUUUGUGGCAGGAGCCAUGGCAGCGCCGAGGCUCUCCCCGCCGCCGCUCGGGCUCCUCUUCCAAGAGGACGGGGGUUCCCCGAAAAUCAGCUGCUUCGCCCCGCAGAGCUACGCCGGCAGCACCUUCGAGCUCUUUGCGACGGGCGCCGAUGUCCCCGCGCAGAGUGUCUCCGCCAACCCGGGUCAGCACAAGGUUGAUUUCACCCUGGAUGGGACCGCGCUGGCCUCCCGGUGCUACCGGUGCAGGUACCGGAGCUAUAACGGCAGCGCCUGGCAGAUGUCGGCAUUCAGCAUGGAGAUUGUGGUGAACGCCUCGGGUGACGCCGGCUGUCAUCCCCCCACCGCCGCCCCGACCGGCCGUCCUCUGCCGACCUCCACCACUCUGCGGCAAGAUCGUUCCUGGCUUCUCCCAGUUGCCAUCAGCGUGGCCGGCCUGGUGCUGCUGCUGCUGGCAGCGGCGGCGGUGGUGGCCUGUCGAGUCAAGGCCAGGAGACAGCGGGCAAAGAGGCAGCAGGCGUCUUGCUGGACGGAAACGCGGUACCCCACCACCGAGCUUUCCUAUGACAACUGCGUCUACGCCGUCAGCGUGAAUGCGCAGCCAGGAGCCGCCGACGGCACCGGCACACCCCCGGUGUCCCCACAGAGAUACCCCCAGGCGUCCCCCCCCAUGGCAUCCCACUUCAGCACCUUCAGGUCCUUGGCAUGAGCCCCGGCGGGGCCGUGUCUGCCGGAGCUCCCCACGGCACCAGAGCCCAGCUCCUCCUUCUGCCGGGGAGCACGAGGAGCUCCCGGCCCAACCGCGAGGGAAGGGGCUGCGUGAAGUCAAGGUCGGUGAGGCGCCGGCACGCCGCGGCACCACGCCGGCUGGGGGACGUGCCGGGGGCUUCCCGGAGCUGCCCACGAGACCCCCGGCACGGGAGAGGUGCCGACGCACCGCCGGCGGUUCAACACCAGAGCCGGCAAAGGGCCCUCCUCUUCCUCGCACCUUUGCCACCGGGGAGGCGGUGGGCGCGCGGCAGAGCUGGGCUGGGCGCCCCAAAUCGCGGUGACUCUGUGCCGGGGCGUCUCUGCUGGCACUGGAGCCGGCUCUGGUUACAAUAAAGGUGUUUGCCGCCAGGUGCCGGUGCAGGACGUGGGUG
rnacentral:lncRNA from 1 species